rnacentral:ncRNA from 1 species
AGAGUCAUACAGGAAAGGAGUAGCGAACCAUCCUGACCCCAAUCCAUGUGAGGGCAGCCGCGAGGCAGCACUUGAAGCGUUGGACGGGGGCAAGUGUAGGCUGGGUAUCCCUGAAGUUGAUGAGCUCCGAAAUAGCCAAUCAUGAGUGCCGACGGUGUCAGGCUAACCGGAAGGCAAUACUGCGGCGUGCGCUAGCGCAAGUGCGUCGCGGCUCGUCGGAGUCGCAGACCC